rnacentral:lncRNA from 1 species
AAAAAAAGAAAAGGACAACAUUAGACAUACACAAAGGUCUUAACAGAAAACAUACCUGAAAAUCCUCAAUCUGCGUCGCGCCCUGCAAAAAAAAAAGUCCACACGACCUAAAGGAAAAAAAAAGGAACCAUUAGACAUACACAAAGGUCUUAACAGAAAACAUACCUAAAUCCUCAAUCUGUGUCGCGCCCUGCUAGAAAAAAAGAAAAGGCAACAUUAGACAUACACAAAGGUCUUAACAGAAAACAUACCUGAAAAUCCUCAAUCUGCGUCACGCCCUGCUAGAAAAAAAGAAAAGGCGAAAUUAGACAUACACAAAGGUCUUAACAGAAAACAUACCUGGAAUUCCUCAAUCUGCGUCGCGCCCUGCUAGAAAAAAAGAAAAGGCAACAUUAGACAUACACAAAGGUCUUAACAGAAAACAUACCUGAAUUCCUCAAUCUGCGUCGCGCCCUGCUAGAAAAAAAGAAAAGGCGACAUUAGACAUACACACAAAGGUCUUAACAGAAAACAUACCUGAAUUCCUCAAUCUGCGUCGCGCCCUGCUAGAAAAAAAGAAAAGGCGACAUUAGACAUACACAAAGGCCUUAACAGAAAACAUACCUGCGAAUCUUCAAUCUGCGUCGCGCCCUGCUGGAAAAAAAAAGAAAAGGUGACAUUAGACAUACUCAAAGGCCUUAACAGAAAACAUACCUGAAAAUCCUCAAUCUGCGUCGCGCCCUGCUAAAAAAAAAAAAAAGGCCACACGACCUAAAGGAAUUUCCAAUCUGCGUCAAGACCUGCUAGAAAAAAAGAAAAGCAACAUUAGACAUACACAAAGGUCUUAACAGAAAACAUACCUGGAAUUCCUCAAUCUGCGUCGCGACCUGCUAGAAAAAAAGAAAAGGCGACAUUAGACAUACACAAAGGUCUUAACAGAAAACAUACCUGGAAUCUCUCAAUCUGCGUCGCGCCCUGCUAGAAAAAAAAGAAAAAGACAACAUUAGACAUACACAAAGGUCUUAACAGAAAACAUACCUGGAAUUCCUCAAUCUGCGUCGCGACCUGCUAGAAAAAAAAGAAAAGGCGACAUUAGACAUACACAAAGGUCUUAACAGAAAACAUACCUGGGAAUCCUCAAUCUGCGUCGCGCCCUGCUAGAAAAAAAGAAAAGGCGAAAUUAGACAUACACAAAGGUCUUAACGGAAAACAUACCUGGGAAUCCUCAAUCUGCGUCGCACCCUGCUAGAAAAAAAGAAAAGGCGAAAUUAGACAUACACAAAGGUCUUAACAGAAAACAUACCUGAAAAUCCUCAAUCUGCGUCGCCCCCUGCUAGAAAAAAAGAAAAGGCGACAUUAGACAUACACAAAGGUCUUAACAGAAAACAUACCUGAAUUCCUCAAUCUGCGUCGCGCCCUGCUGAGAAAAAAAAGAAAAGGUGACAUUAGACAUACUCAAAGGCCUUAACAGAAAACAUACCUGCGAAUCUGCAAUCUGCGUCGCGCCCUGCUAGAAAAAAAGAAAAGACAACAUUAGACAUACACAAAGGUCUUAACAGAAAACAUACCUGAAAAUCCUUAAUCUGCGUCGGGCCCUGCAAAAAAAAAGAAAGCCACACGACCUAAAGGAAAAAAAUUAGACAUACACAAAGGUCUUAACAGAAAACAUACCUGGAAUACCUCAAUCUGCGUCGACCCUGCUAGAAAAAAAGAAAAGACAACAUUAGACAUAC